rnacentral:rRNA from 1 species
AUGUCGGCCGGUGCCACUAUAAACUGGAUCAGAACCCCAUUUCAAGCCCAGAGAUUUCAUGACUUCUCAAGUUUAAGUUUUAGAUGCCGAAACACUUUUGGAUCAAUUCAGCCUUGCUGGUUGGCAACUGAUCAGGAUUCAUCCCUCUCCAAAGUCCGUGUGGCUGCAGACUACUCAGAUUCAGUGCCAGAUUCCAAGUACAUGAGAGAUCGAGGAUACCAUCCUCUUGAAGAAAUCAAAGAACGCCCAAAGAAAAAAGACAUUUCACUGACGGAUGUAGAAACAGCUAGAACAGUAGUAGAGGCAAAUAGCAAGGGAUUGCUCGUAUUUCCUGCCAGGGUGCAUAAUGAACCUCAUGGACAUGUUUCUUGGUCAGAGUUUCAGUAUGUUGUUGAUGACUAUGGAGACAUUUUCUUUCAAGUACCUGAUGAUGGGAACAUCUUGGAAGAUGAUGAUGCAAACAACCCUGUGACAGUUUUGAUCGGAACGGAUGGUGCCAUUAUCGGUGAAACUAGUGCGGUAACUAGUGAUUUCAGCGACCACGUGGUCGUUGAGGAUUCUAUGGACAUGCAUGAUAACGACAGCAAGGUUGACACAGAAAUAACGGAUAUUCUUAUAGAGUGGGGAAUGCCAGUGACGAUGCGUUCAAUACAUCCUAUAUAUUUUGCCAAGUGUUUGACAAAGGCUGUUCAUGAUAAUCAUGGGGAGAAGAUUGAUAAUCCAUCAAACGGUGUAUCUAUUGUAGGAUACCUGAGACCUGCUUUUAUAGAAGAAGAGUCUUAUUUGAGGAGUUUAUUUGGUGCUGAAUGCAGUGCCGAUGGUUAUUCAUCUAAUUGGAGAGAGGAAUACAACAGAGAACCCCAGCCAGCUUCUGGAACCAAUGGCCUAAUUGAUGGUGAUAAAUCGAGAUUGGACAUCAACAAUACGGAAAGUAGCAUUGAUUCAACCAUCUACAAGCUGGAAAUGAUGUCAAUUGAGCUGUUUUCCGUCUAUGGUAAGCAGUUUAUGAUUGAUCCACAAGACUUUCAAGAUGCAGAACCAGAUCUUCUUUCAAAUCAUGCUUCAGACAUUAUAAAACGCGUCAAAGAAAACAGUGAUCAGUGUACCAUGGCUCUAAGGUCCCUCUGUAGCCGGAAAAAAGGCCUUACAGUAGAGGAUGCAAGUUUGAUAGGUGUCGAUAGUCUUGGUAUCGACGUCAGAGCCUUUUCUGGCUUGGCAGCUCGGACAGUUCGAUUUUCAUUCAAUGCCCAGGCGUUAUCUGAACGUUCAGCCGAAAAGAAGAUCAAGCGAAUGCUUUUUCCGCGUUAUCGCAAGACUGUGAAAGCUUCCACUGAAGAUGAAUGUUAG